rnacentral:rRNA from 2 species
UGUGACCUCAAAUCAGGUAGGACUACCCGCUGAAC